rnacentral:rRNA from 1 species
UACGUAGGUGGCAAGCGUUGUCCGGAUUUAUUGGGUUUAAAGGGUGCGUAGGCGGCGCGGUAAGUCGGGUGUGAAAUCUUGGAGCUUAACUCCGAAACUGCAUUCGAUACUGCCGUGCUUGAGGACUGGAGAGGAGACUGGAAUUUACGGUGUAGCGGUGAAAUGCGUAGAUAUCGUAAGGAACACCCGUGGCGAAAGCGGCUCACUGGGUCUUCUCUGACGCUGAUGCACGAAAGCUAGGGGAGCAAACGGG